CAGCAGUGUUUACAGAACAGUUCUCCACAGUCACUGUCCACAUGGGUCAGUGGGACCAAGAAGCACUCUGCUAAUGUGUGGACUCUGACCAGCAACAUCCAGCAAGACCCAGGCAGCGUUUUCUAUCUCCCAGCUGGAGUUUUUUUGUUUGUCUGUGACUGGAGAGUCAGAUUUUUGUUGAGGCUGGAGGAACAGAGAGGUUAAUACACUCUACUGAUCCCUGAUGGGAGAAUCAUCACCUCUGCCAACAAAGAAGCCUGGUGGAUGUUUGUUUGCAGUCUGAUGAUGGGACAUCAUGCUCUGCAUCUUCAAAGUUUGUCUCUUGAUUAUUAUUCAUACACAGUAAUGUGAAGUAUGCUCAUAUCUAGUAUACCUGGACCAACCUGGUGCUCUUCAUUUAUGGAGGCUGUUGAGUCUGAAUGUUGGAUGUUGUGUAUCUCGUGUUCUCUGGGCUUUGUUGUCCUCAGUCUUUUUGCAGGAUCAGAAAACAAAACCAGGAGGCCUGUAAAUGUUUCUUCUCCAAUUGGAUGAUGAUAAGACUGUGACACGGGAUGCCACCUUUAGUCUUGUGAUGAAGCAAAGCUCAGGAAGAAGUGUGAUUAAAUGGUACCCACAUGUGUGCUGCUGAGAAGGAUGUACAGGGGCACCUGCAGCCAAAUCCAAGCCUCCUCAGCAACUUCAGGUCUGUCAGCGUGCUGAGGUCACAGAAACAAGAAAAGCAGCUUCAGAGUGUUGUUUACAGUUUUCUGUCAUCAUGAUCUCCCCUGAAGUUUAUCACUAUUUUA